UUACGAUUAUGCCACGUUGAAACGCCCGUUCUCGUACAAUCACGGAAGUUAAGCAACGUUGAAACUGGUCAGUACCUAAAUGGGUGACCGCUUGGUAACAUCAGAUG